GCCCACAGAAGGGUCAAGGCACUUCUUUCCAUUUCCUGCCUCUCCAUCUCCUCAGGACCAGGAAUCAUGGGGCCCAGAAUUUGGCAAGGCUCCCCCUUACUUCAUCACCAUGGCCAAACCGUGGGUAACUUUGGAUGCAGCGGAUGGACCAAUCUAGCAGCCGCCUGACUAUGAAAAGAAAACCAGAAACAGGUAUGAGGAGACACUGUUUAUUUCUUGGCCUUGUCAAUAGCUUGUAAAUAUGAGGAGAUCAUCUCUCGCCCAUAUUUGUUUUUCUCACUCACAAAAGUACAGCAAAUGGAUAAACACUGGAGGAGAUUCUCUUUUCCUGAGUUAGGCCAAUGGGACAACAGCAUGGAGAUGACCGGCUGAAAAAGGAAGAUCCACUUCUGGUCUGUCUUUCCUUUUUCCUGUCUUUCUGUAGAUCUUUUUUGUUUGUUUCUUUGUGUGUCUCUCUCCCUGUGUCUUUCCAACUUCAUCCUCCUCUUCCUCUUGUUCUUUCCUGCUCCCAGCACUUACAAAAGACUAAAUGUGAUGAACUAAAGAAAGUCCAUCUUCAGAUUGGAGACAAUUAUAAGAUGUGAUAAUCUCACUUAUUUCUCUCUUUCCCUUUCUCUUGCUUAGCUACUGCAAAGCAAUGAUCGUUGUCUGAGCAAAGAAAAAUGACUUUUUCUCUCAUCCCAGUCCAGCCAGUAGAAGCGCAAGGAAAAAAAGAGAAUUGAAGUAAAAUAGUAUUAUUCUUUACCCUGUCUUGCUGCCUUUCUGCCUCUACUGCUUUUUCAUGCUUUCAGGAAGCGCAACUAGCAGAAGCCUACCUGAGAAGGACGUACCAGAAGAUUUGUGCCUGGAGACCCCCUUCAUUGUUUGCUACAAGAGAUGUCCAGGAGUUAUGAGGUGGGAAAGCAUCUCUCUCACACAUCCCUAGGUUUUCCACUUCAUUUAUUCUGGUCUAGGAGAAAACAGCAAAAGGACGACCAGGAUCUGAACGAGAUAUCACCCUUCCUCAUUUGCAGGGUCCGGCCGAUAGGACUAAAGCAAGGACGCUAUGAGUGGCUAAAGAAGAUUAUCCCCCUCUCUCUCCUUCUCUCCCAGGACCCAGCCAAUGAGAUUGUGUCAAAAUGAUAUUCAAAACUAGGAGGCACAGAGGGAACAGGGGCUGCCUGCCUGGGCCCGACAAAUAGGUUGAUGAAGCCCCUCUCUCUUUUCCUGGUCCAAAGAGCAGAUCACAUGACCAAUGAGACCCUUUCCAUCUCCCUGGCCCUAGAAGCCAUAUCACUUGCUGCUUCUAAAAGAUCACCAGGAGGAGAGGUAGAGAGCAGCUUCCAUGUACCCUUGCUUGCACCCACCGUGGAGGUCUCUGUGGGGGGUCUCUCUCUGUAGG
rnacentral:lncRNA from 1 species